CUCGGUGGUAAAAGAGCGGAGGGGAAACACCCGUUCCCAUCCCGAACACGGAAGUUAAGCCCUCCAGCGCCGAUGGUACUAUAGGGGGGACCCUAUGGGAGAGUAGGCCACUGCCGAGU
rnacentral:rRNA from 1 species